rnacentral:rRNA from 1 species
UACGUAGGGGGCAAGCGUUGUCCGGAUUUAUUGGGCGUAAAGAGCGUGUAGGCGGCCAAGCAGGUCCGCUGUGAAAACUCGAGGCUCAACCUCGAGACGUCGGUGGAAACCGUUUGGCUAGAGUCCGGAAGAGGAGAGUGGAAUUCCCGGUGUAGCGGUGAAAUGCGCAGAUAUCGGGAAGAACGCCCGUGGCGAAGGCGGCUCUCUGGGACGGUACUGACGCUGAGACGCGAGAGCGUGGGGAGCGAACAGG